GCCAGUGUGGUGUAGUGGUUUGAGCGUUGGACUAUGACUAUGGAAGACCAGGGUUCAAAUCACUGCUCAGCCA